GACGAACGCUGGCGGCGUGCUUAACACAUGCAAGUCGAACGGAAAGGCCCUGCUUUUGUGGGGUGCUCGAGUGGCGAACGGGUGAGUAACACGUGAGUAACCUGUCCUUGACUUUGGGAUAACUUCAGGAAACUGGGGCUAAUACCGGAUAGGAGCUCCUGCUGCAUGGUGGGGGUUGGAAAGUUUCGGCGGUUGGGGUUGGACUCGCGGCUUAUCAGCUUGUUGGUGGGGUAGUGGCUUACCAAGGCUUUGACGGGUAGCCGGCCUGAGAGGGUGACCGGCCACAUUGGGCCUGGGAUGCGGCCCAGACUCCUACGGGAGGCGGAAGUGGGGAAUAUUGCACUAUGGGCGGAACCCUGAUGCAGCAACGCCGCGUGCGGGAUGACGGCCUUCGGGUUGUAAACCGCUUUCGCCUGUGCCGAAGCGUGAGUGACGGUAAUGGGUAAAGAAGCACCGGCUAACUACGUG
rnacentral:rRNA from 1 species